CAGAAAUUUGUGAAUGGCGGCGGCGACAAAAUAAAAUAGUCGGGCCAAAAUGGCCGGGCCGGUCCGUUUGCUCCCUUUUUUUUCUUUUACCCUUUUCUUUUUCUGUUUUUCUUAUUCCUUUGAUAUCUUUUGGUUUUGAACUCCAAAUUGGUCCAAAUAAAUCCCAGAAAAUUUGUAAAAUCAUGUUCCACCAUGAUACAACUUUUGGGAGUAUUUUCCCCUCAAAAUAAAAUAUAUAGAAGUACAUUUGCCCUAUAAAUGCCUUUAGGGCUAUAUAUCCAUUUAAACAAAAUACUUUUCAACUCCAAAUAAUUAUCCAAAAACUAUGGGAUAGCUUAUAUAUGCAUUAAACCCCUUUUAUGCAUAAACCCUAUUGGUUUGAAAAUUCCAAAGC
rnacentral:lncRNA from 1 species